UUAGAGGGAGAUGGGGGAUGGGGUGUGAGAGCAACAAUAGCAUUAGAGGGAGAUGGGAGAUAGGGGUGUGAGAGCAACAGGAAUGGAGGAUUUCCUGACACCUGAAUAGUCAGAGAGACCAUCACAGGGAAGGUGACACAUGAGAAGAGGCUUCACAGAAGAAAAGGAAGAAACUACCAGGAAUUUCUUAUUUUGUCCAAAUGGACCCAAUCUAGUCUUGACCAGUGGAAGGUUCCUGCUAUUUCUUCUGAGGCCACAACUGCCUUUGCCAAUGCCUCAUCAGAGCCUCUUUCAUGGGAGCUACUGUGAUAAUCUACUUAAAUAGCUAUCCAAUCUUCACAACUACACUGGAAAAUAUCAACCAUCUCAAUGCUGGGCAUUUAGAAACUAUCUGUUGCAUAUAAAACAUCUAUUGAAGAAAAUAAUUAUUGACUUGACUAAGAGAAGGUGACUAAGCCUCCAACAGAAGAUGCCUCCGACAGAUCCAGCGCAUAAUGAGCAGAGCAGGUGACCUGGAGUCUGAUCUCCGGAGUCAUCACUUCUAACCUUGGAGGAAAUCCACGAUGGCUCUCUCACUUGUAUUCAUCUCCCAUCUGCAGCCACUCUAUAAAUUACUCUCUCCAUGUAAUCUUUGUUUGACAUUUCUCUUCCCCAAGCAGGAUUUCAGUCACACACUUUGAGGUUUUAUAUAGAAGCUAGACUCAGAACACACAAGAGGUUGCUGUGAGAACGAGCAUUUGUGUGGUCCAAGCACAGCCUGCAAUUUUGCACUCAGUCAGCACCUAGGAGGAAAAAGCCCCGUGCACUUCAGCUGUAUCUUCCAAGAGUGCCAACACGGCUGCCCCAUGAAGCCAACCUUCCCCUGUGAAUGAAUAGGCAACCUGAGAUGCAAUGAGUUUCCAAAGCCAGACCUGAAUACAGCCCGGAUUGCUAGCAGAAACCUGCCUAGACUAAUUCACAGUCACCAUUUGACUGCAUUCUCCUGCCUCUCAGCUAACAAAGGCAUUAUCUCCCAGCACUUCUAAGAGCUAAAUUGCUCUUUUAACAGCAAUUAUAAGAGUGCUAACAAAAAGCUAAAGAUUUGGAGAAUCAAUGUGCUUCUUUUACUUCUAAAUCAUUGUAUCAGAUUUCCUCCUUGAAUUAUAAUUUUAUGCUGUUAAUGAAGAAAAUGCCUCCUUUCAGAGCACUGAAUAAGAAAGGUACAUUUUUGUACAUUCUAAGCCUCCUUUUAAGAAAAAUCACUUUUAUCUCUCCAUUUUAUGGGCAUAAAGAGGGAAAUCAUAUUUUGAAUAAUUACAGGAAACAGUCUGCUACAAAUGGUAUAUGUGAUAAAAUACCUGUUAGCUACAAUUAAGUUAAAAUUUUAGGGAAAAUCACAAAGUAGAUCAAUUUAUUCCCACACAUCAUUCUCCAACUUCAUGUACAAUUAAUUAGAGGAUAAUGUGAAAUAUAAGCAUGGAGCCAUGUGCUUUUAUUGCAUUUCAACUAAAAUCCUUGGUCCUUACUGUCAGAGGCAUGUGAACAACAGCAACUGCAUCUUGAAUAGGAACUACAUAAAAUGAGGCUGAAACCUAUUGAGCUGCAUUCCCAGACAGUAAAGGCAUUCUAAAUCACGGAAUGAGAUAGGAGGUCAGCAUAAGAUACAGACCUUGCUGAUAAAACAGGUUGCAGUAAAGAAACCGGCUAAAUCUCCAAGAUGGCCACGAAAGUACCUCUGGUCAUCCUCACUAUUACACUCCCAUCAGGGCCAUGAGAGUUUACAAAUGCCAUGGCAAUGUCAGGAAGUCACCAUUUAUGGUCUAAAAAGGAGAGGCGUGAAUAAUCCACCCCUUGUUUAGCAUAUCAACAAGAAAUAACCAUAAAAAUGGGCAACCAUCAGCCCUCAGGCCUGCUGUCUAUGGAGUAACCAUUCUUUUAUUCCUUCAUUUUCCUAAUAAACUUGCUUUCACUUUACUGACUCUCCCUGAAUUCUUUCUUGUGCGAGAUCCAAGAACCCUCUUUUGAGGUCUGGACCCGGACCCCUUUCCUGUAAUGUUACUAUCUCUGAUUUCAUGAUUCUGAUGUUUAAAUUACUUGUAAAAUAAAUCCCUAUUUAAUAGUAUCUGUGACUAUACCACAUAAAUAUUUCAUCAGUUAGGGCUAUUCUUG
rnacentral:lncRNA from 10 species